rnacentral:rRNA from 1 species
AGUGAACGCUGGCGGUAGGCCUAACACAUGCAAGUCGAACGGCAGCACAGUAAGAGCUUGCUCUUACGGGUGGCGAGUGGCGGACGGGUGAGGAAUACAUCGGAAUCUACUUUUUCGUGGGGGAUAACGUAGGGAAACUUACGCUAAUACCGCAUACGACCUACGGGUGAAAGCAGGGGAUCUUCGGACCUUGCGCGAUUGAAUGAGCCGAUGUCGGAGUAGCUAGUUGGCGGGGUAAAGGCCCACCAAGGCGACGAUCCGUAGCUGGUCUGAGAGGAUGGUCGGCCACACUGGAACGGAGACACGGACCAGACUCCUACGGGAGGCAGCAGUGGGGAAUAUUGGACAAUGGGCGCAAGCCUGAUCCAGCCAUACCGCGUGGGUGGAAAAGGCCUUCGGGUUGUAAAGACCUUUUGUUGGGAAAGAAAAGCAGCAGGUUAAUACCCAGCUGUUGUGACGGUACCCAAAGAAGAAGCACCGGCUAACUUCGUG